rnacentral:rRNA from 1 species
GAUGAACGCUGGCGGCGUGCCUAAUACAUGCAAGUCGAGCGAACGGACGAGAAGCUUGCUUCUCUGAUGUUAGCGGCGGACGGGUGAGUAACACGUGGAUAACCUACCUAUAAGACUGGGAUAACUUCGGGAAACCGGAGCUAAUACUGGAUGAUAUUUUGAACCGCAUGGUUCAAAAGUGAAAGACGGUCUUGCUGUCACUUAUAGAUGGAUCCGCGCUGCAUUAGCUAGUUGGUAAGGUAACGGCUUACCAAGGCAACGAUGCAUAGCCGACCUGAGAGGGUGAGCGGCCACACUGGAACUGAGACACGGUCCAGACUCCUACGGGAGGCAGCAGUAGGGAAUCUUCCGCAAUGGGCGAAAGCCUGACGGAGCAACGCCGCGUGAGUGAUGAAGGUCUUCGGAUCGUAAAACUCUGUUAUUAGGGAAGAACAUAUGUGUAAGUAACUGUGCACAUCUUGACGGUACCUAAUCAGAAAGCCACGGCUAACUACGUG